rnacentral:rRNA from 1 species
UAGAGUUUGAUCCUGGCUCAGAUUGAACGCUGGCGGCAGGCCUAACACAUGCAAGUCGAGCGGUAGCACAAGAGAGCUUGCUCUCUGGGUGACGAGCGGCGGACGGGUGAGUAAUGUCUGGGAAACUGCCUGAUGGCGGGGGAUAACUAGUGGAAACGGUAGCUAAUACCGCAUAACGUCGCAAGACCAAAGUGGGGGACCUUCGGGCCUCACGCCAUCAGAUGUGCCCAGGUGGGAUUAGCUGGUAGGUGGGGUAACGGCUCACCUAGGCGACGAUCCCUAGCUGGUCUGAGAGGAUGACCAGCCACACUGGAACUGAGACACGGUCCAGACUCCUACGGGAGGUAGCAGUGGGGAAUAUUGCACAAUGGGCGCAAGCCUGAUGCAGCCAUGCCGCGUGUGUGAAGAAGGCCUUCGGGUUGUAAAGCACUUUCAGCGAGGAGGAAGGGUAAUGUGUUAAUAAGACAUUGC